AAUUAUCCCUCCGCAAGAUAUUAAGCCGCGCCUUGGGUCCUCUGCGCCUGCGUACUGAUGGCCUGUCUGUGCGAGGAGGGUCUCCAGGCUAUGCUUCUACCUGCGGAAACGCGCCCCCUCUAGGCCAAUCUUCGUAAUAUUUGUUGCCUAAACCGUGCUGCCACCUUGAUCUAGCGUUGCCUCCUCAGCCAAAGCCACAGCCUUGAGGCCUUGUUGUUUUGUCAGAAACCAGAGAAAGAUUUGACAAACCGUAACAGAGAAGAAAUGGCAACCAACUCCAGUGUUCUUGCCUGGAGAAUCCCAGGGAUGGCGGAGCCUGGUGGGAGGCCGUCUAUGGGGUCGCACAGAGUCAGACACGACUGAAGUGACUUAGCAGCAGCAGCAAAGGAGAAGACAACGUGACCACAGAGGCAGAGAUUGUAGUGAUAUGGCCACAAGCCAAGGAAUGCCAGCAGCCACCAGGAGCUGAAAGAGGCAACAUGUUCUUCCCUAGAGCCUCCAGGGAGAGUAUGGCCCUGCUGACGCCUUGAUUUUGCCCAGUGAAAUGGAUUUUGAACUUAUGACUCAGAACUGUGAAAGAGUAGAGUUCUUAUAUUGUUAAGCCACCAAAUUUGUGUUGAUUAUUUACAGCAGUCACAUAAAGUAGAUUUUGGUACCUGGAUAUGAGAUGCUGCUGUGUCUUAAUCUGCCUGGGCUGUCAUAAUAUAAUACACAGAUUGGGUGUAUUAAACAAUAGAAGUUUAUUUUCUCAUAGUCCUGGAGGCCAGAAGUCCAAGAUCACUGGGCCAUCUGGGCUGAUUUCUGAUGAGAUUGGUCUUCCUAACUUGCAGAUGACUGCUUUUUGCUGUGUCCUCACGUGCUCUUUCCUUUGUGCAUGUGCACUCUUGGUGUCUCUCCCUCUUCUCAUAAGGACACCAGAUCUAUUGGAUAAGGACCCUAUCCUUAUGACCCCAUUUAACCUUAAUCAUCUCCUUGAAGGCCCUGUUUCCAAAUACAAUCAUAUUGGGGGUUAUGGAUUCAACAAAUUAAUUGGGAGCGGGGUAGGGUAGACAUAAGUCCAUAAUAUGCUGUAACAAGUACCUGAAAUUAUUGAACUGUCU
ensembl:lncRNA